AAAGAAAGAGAGAUCGACAGAGAUUUUGGAGGCGAUUUUGUUAGAUUAAGCACUUUUUUCAUCAGAUUCUGAUCUCAGAAUGUGUACUUUCUUGUACAUGUUUCGGCUUAUAGUGAUUUUAAGAUCUCGGAAAGAGUUUUCCGAAUGUAUAAAGUUUGCGAAUUUUGGACGAGCGACUCGAAAGAUAAAUUGUUUUCAAAUUAGUUAUAUAUAUAUAUAUAUAAAUUGUUGAC